UACGGGGGGGGCAAGCGUUGUUCGGAAUUACUGGGCGUAAAGGGCUCGUAGGCGGCCAACUAAGUCAGACGUGAAAUCCCCAGGCUCAACCUGGGAACUGCGUCUGAUACUGGAUGGCUUGAAUCCGGGAGAGGGAUGCAGAAUUCCAGGUGUAGCGGUGAAAUGCGUAGAUAUCUGGAGGAAUACCGGUGGCGAAGGCGGCAUCCUGGACCGGCAUUGACGCUGAGGAGCGAAAGCCAGGGAGCAAACGGG
rnacentral:rRNA from 1 species